UACGAAGGGUGCAAGCGUUAUUCGGAAUUACUGGGCGUAAAGCGUGCGUAGGCGGUGAUUUAAGUCUGCUGUGAAAUCCCCGGGCUCAACCUGGGAAUGGCAGUGGAUACUGGAACGCUAGAGUGUGAUAGAGGAUGGUGGAAUUCCCGGUGUAGCGGUGAAAUGCGUAGAGAUCGGGAGGAACAUCAGUGGCGAAGGCGGCCAUCUGGAUCAACACUGACGCUGAGGCACGAAAGCGUGGGGAGCAAACAGG
rnacentral:rRNA from 1 species